rnacentral:lncRNA from 1 species
AUGGGAGGCAGGCGACUGCAUCCAGCACCCGGCCAGCCUACUCUUGGGUAUUUGUUUGCUAGGAACAGGUCUGCCUUGGAGCCCACAACAGCUGCCUUUGGAAUACCAGCCUCACCCUCAAACCUGGGCCAUCUCCUGAAGCACAGCUCAGCUCUUGUUUGGCUGCUUCAGAUCCAGUUGGGAAUGAGACAGGAGAGAAAACAAGCACUCUUUCCAUGGCGGAGACUUUGCUUUGGUCUGAGUGGCAGAUGAUGGAGUGACUGGCACAGUCUGACCAACCAUGUAAGUACUAGAUGGGUGUGAGUCCCAGCUUUGCAGACUUCAUGGCACUGUGGCUUCUAGAAAAUUACUUCUCCUUACUUCCUCAGUUUCCACACCUGUAGCCGAGCAGCAGGGACAUCCAGUGCCUGCAGCAGAGGGCAG